rnacentral:rRNA from 1 species
UACAUAGGCUUCAAGCGUUGUCCGGAUUUAUUGGGCGUAAAGAGUUCGUAGGCGGUCGAGUAAGUCGGGUGUGAAAUCCCCGGGCUUAACCUGGGAACUGCGUUUGAAACUACAAGGCUAGAGUGUAGCAUAGGGGGGUGGAAUUCCACGUGUAGCAGUGAAAUGCGUAGAGAUGUGGAGGAACACCGAUGGCGAAGGCAGCCCCCUGGGUUAACACUGACGCUCAGGCACGAAAGCGUGGGGAGCAAACAGG